GUGUCCUCAGUCUUCAGCUGAUUCAUGUGCAGAUAGAGAUUAGAGCUGUCCUUAGAUGCUGUGAAUCUGCCCUGCACUGACUGAGCUGAGCUCUUAGAAGAAUCUGAAUAAUAAUAAAUAAUCCAUUCAAGUCCUUUUUCAGGUGCCUGACGGAUCCAAUACAUGCUAGUGCCACUAACAGAAAACCCACUGCAGGCACAGGUCAGUUUGUAGGAACCACCUGGAGACACAACUACUGACUGUUCAGACUGUGUGAGCACAACCUGACAGUCAAUAC